CCGGCCAGGCAGAGACAGCAAGGGCGGUUCAUUGCCUUUCCGUUCACCUUCACACUCCUGGGCCAGACUACACUCAGUCAUAGGAACUACUGAAGAGAUUAGUCUUCAAUAAAGACUUAAAGGUUGAGACCGAGUCUACGUCUCUCACAUGGUACAGGGCCUGAGUUUGGGGGGUUGAAAAUCCGUUCAGCCAUUGUGGCAUGGUGACUCACUACCCAAACCAGAUGCAACUGAUUUCAAGUGGCCAAGCGAAGACAUGUGAUCUCCUACCUCCAUCUAGUGGACGAACUGGGAAUCAGACAGAGGACAGCAGGUUGCACAGAUGACCAGCGCAGAGAGGGGCUUCACAGUAAUUUGUGAUAUCAGUGCAGCGGGACAGUAUGUACUGCCCCUCUUCAUCUUCCCCCGGAAGAGGAUGAACAAACAGCUGCUGGUUGGAGCAACUCCUGGGUCCGUUGGAAGGGUGAGUGACUCAGGUUGGGUCAACAGUACCAUCUUUGUCAACUGGCUCCACCACUUCACCCACAGUGUUGGUUGCGUCCCUGAUGGGCACCACUCCCAUAAGACCCUGGAGGCUGUUCUUACAGCAAGAGGCCAGGGAUCACUCUGCCACCCCACUGCAGCCACAAGAUGCAGCCAUUAGACCCUACCGUCUCCAAGGGUCUGAAGGCCUUUUCCAACAGGGAAGCAGAUCAGUGGAUGACGACCCAUCCUGGGAAAAGGAUCGGUAUAUCCCAAAUGGUUGGCCUCUUCGCAAAGGCCUAUAACAAGGUUUCCAGUGUGGAGAGAGGAGUGGAGGCCUUCCGGGCCAGUGGGCGGACUUCGUGGCCGUUAUAGAGGAGCAAUUAGCCCAUAAGAAAAAUGCAAAGAAUCCAUUCAACCACAGUGCUCUACUGCCGCCGCUGCCACCUCUGCCGAUACAGCCACCAGCUCUACCGCCGCCAUCACUAGCUCUACCUCUACCUCUACCUCCAACACAUCUACCUCCGCCACAACCUUCACCCUGCAGCCUACCCUUGCUCCAAAUGUUGCUGCAGCAGUCCUAUUGGAGUUGUCCCCGAGGCUCCAGGAGGCUAGGCCGAGGAAGACGAAGGCAGAGUCUGCGGCGGUACUGACAUAAACAAAAAGUAGAAACAUCAACAUCAAUAGAACAAGCCACAUCAGCCACUAAAGAAGGGGAUGUGGGGUGUCUUUUCUGUGAGGAGCUGUUUUCAGUCCCAGGUGGGGACUGGAUUAGGUGGGCUCAUGAGUUGUGAUCCAAUUUUACUGGAGCUUGAUUUGUGACCUGUGUACAAAUUAGAAUUGCGCAAUAGUAGAGCAUAAUAGUUGCAACAACAAUGUUACACUGAAUUAGUUAAGUUAUGAUUUAUUGUUUUUAAAUGUUAUAUUCCAAUGCUAUUUCAUUUUAUUAGUUAUAUUCCAUUCCAAUAUUAUAUUCCAAUGAAUAUUUAUUUUUUUAUGAAUUAAAAACAA